UAUUUUGUGUAAAUUAAAGUUUCUAUUCACGUUUUCGAACAAACAAUGCUCUUUCAAUAUAGUCUAUUGGUGUGAAUGACAUUGACAUUCGUAUUGCCCGAUUUUUAAAAUAUGCAAAAUUAAAUGUAUAUUUUUCAAUAUUUCUGAGAGAUUAUCUUAAGAUUUUUUCGAGUUUUAAAGACUAAGAAGAUUUUUAUUUGUUUGUUCAAUCAAGUUGGAAUUUCGUUUUUAACGAUACUACCACCCAGGCGUAUAAGCUUAGGCCGAGAACUCGAAAUACGGCAAGUCAAAGAAAUAUAAGAGCAAAACAAACUGAUCGGCAACGCGAAGCGCGAAAUGAACUUGAACUGAAUCGAUAUCAAGAUAGAAAUGUUGUGUUUAACCCCACAAAGCUGCAUUCAGUUAUAAUGUGGCAAUUGAUUACAGUUCAGAGCAAAUUGUUGCUAUUGGACUAAUGAACAUUGUGUGUCCACAUUGGGAUUGAAAUUCAAAAAUGAAGCCUCUGGAUUGUGUUGCGCCAGCGGCGCGGCCAAGUCAAAUUGACGCCAUUGGUACCGCCACCAGGAACACUACAUUCAUUGGUUAAUUUUUGGACUCAUAUCCAGCAGUACAAUAAUUGCUUUCUAAUGACAUCAUUUGGGGCAACAAAAGUUAUACGAGACAAUUUUAUGCCUACUUUUAGUAAAUUCAGGAAUUCAAAUAUAUCAUCAAACAGGUUCCUUAUUGCCAGUGCCUGUUGAAGACUGUACAUUUUUGCAAAUAUAUUUUAUGGACAAUUCAGCAAGAGAAGUCGAUCAGCGUUGCGCACACAACAACUCAGUAAAGAGAUCCAUUGUGAUGAACAACUUCAAACAUGUUUCCAUCAACACAAUGAAUUAGUUGCAUUAUUCACAAAUGCAUUAGACCGCAUGCCAUCAGAUAAUCACAAAAUUGUCAUCAGAGCCGAUAAGGCGCCUGCAGGACAAAAUGCUGGACGUUUUAAUGUGCCAACAAUUGAUAAAGAGCGCGCGUGGUAUUGAGCUCAGUGUUUACUUAAAAAUGCCAAG